CCUACCCCACCAAAAGCCCUGCGGGGAAGCUCUCAGGCAAGCAGGCGCUGGCUCGGGAAGGCGCAGUCAGCAUCCUUCUCUCCCAGCCCAAGUGAGAGGAUCGCCUCCACCUCGGAGCUAGAGCUCCCGGGUCUUUAACAUUCUAGGCUUUUCCUUACGAAGUAGAAAGGUCCAUGCUGGCCUUACCUCUGGGGCUGCUUUCCUUCUCAGAAUAACGUUUCCCAGAGGGCAAAGGCAGAUGCUGCCAAAGCCUCAGGAGUCCCAAGUUCUGGAACAGGUACAAGGUUACUUCUCUCACUUUCUAUUGGUUGGAGCAAGUCGUAAGGCCAGCCCACAUUCAGAGCCCAGCUGAGGACAGAGUGAGGAGGCAGCCAUCUGCAAGCUGGAAAGAGAGUCCUCACCAGAAAUUGAGCCCUAUUGGACCUUGAUCUUGGACUUCCAUCUUUCAGAACUGUGAGAAAAUAAAAGUCUGCUGUUUAAACCAAGCAGUUUGUAGCAUUUUCUUAUGGCCACUCCAACGGACUAAGAUAAUCUGCAAAGAAUAAGA